rnacentral:lncRNA from 1 species
CAGCUCAGCUGGUAUCAUAAUCCUCUGUUUACCAUUGAAAGCUGGACACUGUGUAGUUAAAAAUGUUUAAGAUCAAGGUCAAAGUCUUGGAGGAUACAGAUUUGCUCUGAAAGUGAAGAUUGAAGGGCAAACGAGAAACCAUUUAGUUUUUAGGUGAAAUAUGGGGAUGUCCUUAUCUCGCCAGUGGCUUUCCUAAGGUAACUUUCUUCCAUAGGUAAUUUACUCAUUUUAUAGUAGUUUUCAGUAAUCCCCCUAACAAAAUG